ACACAGCAUGGACAUGAGGGUCCCCGCUCAGCUCCUGGGGCUCCUUCUGCUCUGGCUCCCAGGUGCCAGAUGUGACAUCCAGAUGACCCAGUCUCCAUCUUCCCUGUCUGCAUCUGUAGGAGACAGAGUCACCAUCUCCUGCAGGGCCAGUCAGAGUGUUGGCAGCAGCUUAGCCUGGUACCAGCAGAAACCUGGGCAGGCUCCCAGGCUCCUCGUCUAUUAUGCAUCCAGCAGGGCCACUGGCAUCCCAGACAGGUUCAGUGGCAGUGGGUCUGGGACAGACUUCACUCUCACCAUCAGCAGCCUGGAUCCUGAAGAUGUUGGAGUUUAUUACUGUCAGAAGUACAAUGACUGGCCUCCCACAGUGAUUCAACAUGAAACAAAAACCUUGACAAGACCAUCAGUGUUUAUUAGAUUACACCAGCUGCUUCCUUUACAGACAGUUAGUGGGGUGGCCACUCAGUUUUAG